UUUAAGUGUCCCGGGCUGAGUGAGUGCUGAGUGAGUGCUGAGAACACAGGCAUGAAUCAGAACUGGCGUAGGCCCUGGAAGGGAUCCCGGUCUGUGGAGGGAAACGGCUAGGGAAUCAAAUCACUUAGGAAAGGGUGCGGGUACGAUUGGACCUUGAAGGGCAGGCAAGGACACUCCAGGCGAGGGAACCCUGGGAGAAAGGUCCAGACUGGCUUGGACUCAUGGAGUUCCACUGGGGUGGGAGGUGAAGCAGCAGACAUGGGCAGGUCAGAUCAUGAAGAGAUGUGAGACAUGGACUGGUGGAAAUAAGAGCACGAAUAAACCCUUCGGGGGCUGCGGUGGAGGAGGGAUACAGUGCUAAGAGUCGACGAUUCAAACGCCUGCGGUGGGAACCCUGUGCGCGCCCAAGAGGAAUACCAGGCGGAGAGUGAGGCCCGCGGAGGUCGCAUGCGCAGUUAGCCCAAAGGGCUCCGCGACUUAGCUGAAGCGGGUGGUUACCAAUGGGAACGAUAGAUGCUUCAAGAGAAGAGAGAAGGGUGUAUAUACAUAUACAUAUAUUCAUAGAUAUGUAGAUGCAGAAAAUGAGUCAGAGAGAAGAAGGGCCUUACUGAAGUACCCAGGGCCAGGAGGCAUCAGGGCCUGGAUUCAAACCCAACCCUGUCUCGCUCUAGGGCGAGCCCACAUUUUUUCCUGGCAUUGGGCAGCCUGCCUAGCGGUGUAACAGGAAGCCUUUGGAGGGCCGUGAGCAAGGACCAGCAUGUUGUGAGGAUUCACAGCUUCGUCCUUGAGAGUGUGUGAGCUUUCUGUGAGAACUCUUGACUUCCGUGUUUUGGACCUGGUGGAUGAUCUUGGAAAUCACGACCUGCCAAUUCCGGCAGAUUUAGGCCACCACCGUGCAGUUUAGGGGCCGGCAUCUGUGGCUGUGUUUACCAUGGUAUUGGGACCAAGGGCCACUGUUUGAAUUGUCGUGGACUAAUGAGAAAAAAGCAAAGGCUACCGGAUAAGCAAGAGGUGCUGUGAGCCAAGCCAGGGGGCGUGAUGUCACCUACCCGAGCACUUCAGAAUCAAGGGGACCCAGCAGAAGGAGGGUAAGCUGAGUCACCCCUUGGCCAGGCAAGGCUGCCCAGCGCUCCUGGGCCCCCUCUUCACAAUAGCAACACAGAUUGAGUUUUCCCGAAACAUUGUCACCUGUCCGUGUGUCAGUGCUGUUAAUUCGCAUUUUAUUGCUUUGCCCUUUGUGUUUGAACUUGGUUUGAACUUGGUCAAUUUGCUUUGGUUUUAUUGUUGUAUAAGAGUCACAGUUGAAAGGAAUUUUAUAUCCGUCCACAUGUAAGUAACUUGAUA